UAGGGAAUCUUCCACAAUGGGCGAAAGCCUGAUGGAGCAACGCCGCGUGUGUGAUGAAGGCUUUCGGGUCGUAAGCACUGUUGUAUGGGAAGAACAGCUAGAAUAGGAAAUGAUUUUAGUUUGACGGUACCAUACCAGAAAGGGACGGCUAAAUACGUGCCAG
rnacentral:rRNA from 1 species